rnacentral:rRNA from 1 species
GAUGAACGCUGGCGGCGUGCCUAAUACAUGCAAGUCGAGCGAACAGACGAGGAGCUUGCUCCUCUGACGUUAGCGGCGGACGGGUGAGUAACACGUGGAUAACCUACCUAUAAGACUGGGAUAACUUCGGGAAACCGGAGCUAAUACCGGAUAAUAUAUUGAACCGCAUGGUUCAAUAGUGAAAGACGGUUUUGCUGUCACUUAUAGAUGGAUCCGCGCUGCAUUAGCUAGUUGGUAAGGUAACGGCUUACCAAGGCGACGAUGCGUAGCCGACCUGAGAGGGUGAUCGGCCACACUGGAACUGAGACACGGUCCAGACUCCUACGGGAGGCAGCAGUAGGGAAUCUUCCGCAGUGGGCGAAAGCCUGACGGAGCAACGCCGCGUGAGUGAUGAAGGGCUUCGGAUCGUAAAACGCUGUUAUUAGGGAAGAACAAAUGUGUAAGUAACUAUGCACGUCUUGACGGUACCUAAUCAGAAAGCCACGGCUAACUACGU